rnacentral:rRNA from 1 species
ACUCCUACGGGAGGCAGCAGUGGGGAAUUUUGGGCAAUGGGCGAAAGCCUGACCCAGCAACGCCGCGUGAAGGAUGAAAUCCCUCGGGACGUAAACUUCGCAAGAACGGGAAGAAUAAGUAGGGGACAAUACCCCCUAUGAUGACGGUACCGUUUGUAAGCUCCGGCUAACUCCGUGCCAGCAGCCGCGGUAAUACGGGGGGAGCAAGCGUUGUUCGGAUUUACUGGGCGUAAAGGGCGCGUAGGCGGUCAGCACAAGUCAAUUGUGAAAUCUCCGAGCUUAACUCGGAAAGGUCAACUGAAACUGUGCGACUAGAGUGCGGAAGGGGCAACUGGAACUCUUGGUGUAGCGGUGAAAUGCGUAGAUAUCAAGAGGAACACCUGCGGCGAAGGCGGGUUGCUGGGCCGACACUGACGCUGAGGCGCGAAAGCUAGGGGAGCGAACGGGAUUAGAUACCCCGGUAGUCCUAGCCUUAAACGAUGAAUGCUUGGUGUCUGGGGUUAUAAAGUCCCCGGGUGCCGUCGCUAACGCUUUAAGCAUUCCGCCUGGGGAGUACGGUCGCAAGACUGAAACUCAAAGGAAUUGACGGGGACCCGCACAAGCGGUGGAGCAUGUGGUUUAAUUCGACGCAACGCGAAGAACCUUACCUGGGCUAGAAUGCCUCUGACAACCCUGGAGAUAGGGCCUCCAAGGUAAAACUUGGCAGAGUGCAAGGUGCUGCAUGGCUGUCGUCAGCUCGUGUCGUGAGAUGUUGGGUUAAGUCCCGCAACGAGCGCAACCCUUAUCUUUAGUUGCCAGCAUUAAGUUGGGCACUCUAGAGAGACUGCCGUUGACAAAACGGAGGAAGGUGGGGAUGACGUCAAGUCCUCAUGGCCUUUAUGUCCAGGGCUACACACGUGCUACAAUGGCCGGUACAAACCGCUGCAAACUCGCAAGAGGGAGCCAAUCGGAAAAAGCCGGUCUCAGUUCGGAUUGGAGUCUGCAACUCGACUCCAUGAAGUUGGAAUCGCUAGUAA